UUUGAACUUGAUUUUUAUUUCCUUGUUUGUUGUCAAUUCUAUAAGUUCUUCUUCCAGCUGAGGUGACAUUGCUGUGUUGACAUUUGAAAACGGAUCCAACACCCAUUCUGGUAUUUCCAAGUUCAAAAUGUUCUGGUAUCGUUCGGUGAAGUCAAUGUGGAGGUUUUCCAAAUGUUGGCAGUAGGCAAACAAUUCGUUGUUACUGCAUGAUACUGAUAAAUUUGGAAAAUUGUGAAACUCACGUCUGCCCAGAUUCUUUUUGUGUAGAAGCAAAUUUAGUUUAUUGCCUUGCAGUUGGAGAUUCAUGUCGUUGAACAAUUUAUACAGGUCUGUCAUUUUAGAAGAACUCUAUAACAGAGUCAAACUGGUUGUAGAAUCGAGUCAGACAAUUGCCUCUUGAUAGCCAACGAACUUCAGUAUGAAACAACAAACGAUUGAAAUCCUCGUAACACAAAGCUGAUGAAAUAAUCUAUCAUUCAAAGAGCUGUUGCAAAUUUUAUUGACUGCUUUGAUGACACGUUGCAGUGAUUGAAAUAGUUUUUCACUUAAGUUUCUAGCAACUAAAUGUUGUCUAUGAAUAACGCAAUGUACACCAAGGACAUCUGAAAUUUUAUUUUUUAAGUGCGCUAUUAAGCCUUUAUGGCACCCUAUCAUAGCCGGAGCGCCAUCCGUAGCAAUUGAAAUAAUAUUUUUCAAAGGAAUCUCUUUCUCAUCGCAAAACUUCUCCAAUAUAUUGAAUAUGGUUUCGCCUUUUGUAUCGGUCUCUAAAUUUCUAGCAAAUAAUAGUUCUUCACAUAUUUUCUCAUCUUUAAUAAACCUCACGUAAGACAACAACAAUGCUUCAUUAGUUGGUAAAGUGAACUCAUCGAGCUGAAUUGAGAAUUGGCUUGUCCCCAGGUGAUCGCACAAUGAUUCUUCAAUGUUUUCAGCCAUUUCAUCAAUUCGUCUUUGCACAGAAUUAUUAAUCAAAGGAAUUUUUUGGAUAAUAUCUGCGGCCGGUUUAUGAAGCACGGUAGUUAUUACUUCAUUUAUUGCUGGCAAUAUUAACUCUUCUCCGAUGUUAUGUGGUUUGCCUUUUUGAGCAAUUAACAAAGAGAUAUUGUACGAAGGUCGAAGUCCGUCGUAAUGCAUAAACUCGUUUAUCUCAUUCGACGCUCAAUCGUACACAACAAGUCCGAACAAGUAUUCAAUGAACCAGUCGAUAGGACAGAUAUAUGAACUACGCGGAGAGAAAUAUAGAACCGAGUAUGAGCAAUCUUUUAAUUCAUAUUAGUUGAUGUUCACAUGUUGUUGUUGAGAGUCGAGAGCUCAUGUAGUCGUUGUCUAAGAGGCCUCCUAGCUAAAUAAAAUUACAAAUAACCCCCCCAGGCCUCUACACAACGCCCCCAUUUUCUUUCUGGGUCUCUUACCACCCCCCUUGACACCUGCAGCGCCCACAAGGGGCGUUAUCGCCCACUUUGGGAAACACUGUUUUAAAUGAUAAGAGUUGUGAUUUACAUAUAUUAUUAUUGUAAUAAGUAUAUUAUGUUUUUAGGAUAUUACGAUAAUAUAUCAUAUACAUAUAUAGCAUAUAUACAUGCAUACGAAAUUAUAUAAUAUUAUCAAAAAAAAGAAAUAUUUAAAAAGUAGCUUUUAUUUGGACAUUAACUACAAAUAUUACCAUGAAAAUAGCAUAAUUUAAUAAAAAUUGAUCGAUUUUGCAUGAAUUCACAAAAAUUCGCAAAAUUAUAUUCAUAUCAGUUGAUACGAUAACAUGUAAACGUAUAAAAAUAUAAGCCAAAAGGCCAACAUGGGUCUGUAAAAGCAAUGUAUAAUUCUGAGCAUAAUUUUCAUUGAAUGCUCAGCUCUGUUCGCUCAUCACUGUUAAAAUUUCUCCUUCUAGGCCAAAAGUGGUGAAAUCCACUAAUAGGAUUUUGUUAGCUCUUGACAGUUCACACGCCUGUCCGCAAUUGAACCUUCUCUAUAUUAUACGUUCUCUGCUGGAUACUAAGCUUAAUACUAUAAAAAUUGCCCCUAUUUAUAUUCACCAGUACAGUUCAAUUUUUAUAUUUUUCUGAGUUGGUAUAAAACAAUCGAUUGAGGUAUGUAUUAUAUAUUUUAUUGUUAGAGUUCUGAACUUGUCCCAAAAAAAUGGUAAAUCAAUUAAUCUAUCCUUUGAGUCUGGAAUGAUCAUCCGAAAAUUUUAACUUUAAAAUGUUAGCUAAAAAAUAGACAUUAAAAGAAAAUAUAAUAAUAAAAAAACGUGAAGAUUGAGAGAAAUAUUGAAAUCUAAGGCACGACUUCGAUUACUUUGGCAGAGGGGUAAAAAACAAGAAUUUGCGUAUAAAUGGGGUAUGUGGGGAUAGGGGAGCUUCUCCUGAGGAGGAAUAUGCAAAAAUAAUGUUUCUAACACUUAAGUUUAAGUAACAUGCUAAGCUUUUCAAAGAUUCUGUUCAUAUAUGUAGUAUGUCUGUACAUUUGUAUAUAUGAAUAAGUCAACAAUAUGAUGACUUGUCUACAAAACAGAAAAACUUGGACCCAAUUAUUUAGAAAGUUUGUACAGAAAGAGUACAAAGAAGACCAUAAAAUGAAUCUCAACCAAAUACGAAAUAAAAUAGUUAUUUACCUUCUUAGAAAAAGUUUUGGAGUCGGUCCAAAAUGUCUAUUUUACAAUGAACGUAGCAUACAGAUGCCACUUUAAUGGGUAGGGGAGCUAAAUAAUAUCAUAUAUACCUACUUAAAUAUCUGGAACUAGUCUCUCAGUUUUUGAGACAUCGCUCCGAAUUUUUGCAAAAGUCCAUUUCUAAAGAACAACUUUUUCAGAACGACCGAAAGCGAAUCACUACAGCAUAUUUUUGUCUUACAAAAUUAACGAUAAAAUUAAGAGUAGCUGCUAGCUAUCAGGAAGAAAAAAACUGACUCUCAUAAAGAGCGAAAUAACGAAAAAGUAUAAAAAAACUAGCAGGAAAAUAUCAAAAUGUGUUCAAAAAUCACUUCAAUUAAUUUAAAAUAGUUUUUUUCACAGUUCAAAGUAAUUAAAAUAAAAUAAAAAAUCAAAGAAAAUUCGUCAAAUUUUUCUUGGUUACACAUGUUUUUAACAGCUGUUUCAUCAUAAAGCUUAGUAUCCAGCUCUCAAGUAAUGUAAAAACUUCAUAUAAAAAAACGCUUAAGAAACGGUCAAGAAACUUUCCUGCGAUGAAUUUACAUGGUACUUUUUUCGCAAAUUUAAAAGAUCUCAUAGCAAAAUACAUAUAUUUGAAUGUAACUAAAUGUUAAUAGGCACAGAAGCACUUUUUAUUUUUCUUGUAAAUAGAAGCAUAUAUUAAUGGAUUUUAAA